GGCUUUGUGAAAAGACUUCGUUUAUGAUUUAGGCUGUGGAUAUGUCAGCUCCCCGGCAAGGAUUAGGUUUGUGAGGGCUGGCCAUGGUGGCAGCUCCAGUGACAGUGGUCAGCAGUCCUCUCUUUAGGUGCUGUGAACAGGACAUGAUAUACUUUCACCUGACAAGUGCACUUUAGUCCUUUACCCUGACUCCUCCCGUGUGUGGCCUGGACUGGUGGUGUGCUUCUCCAGGUGAGAGCCCUCCCUAGCAGAGCAGGAUCUAUUUAAAAAAAAAAAAUGGAGCAUCAGGCCUUUCUAGCCUAUCUGGAAGACAGUGGGAGGAAGGAGGGCAGGCAAGGAGCUGGGGACUAGAUAGCAGGUAGACACUCAUGAUUUACAAAAGACAGGAAGCCUUGUGUGAUUUCAGACAAGUUCUCUUCCUUUAGAAUGUUGUCUGCAUUGCUAGCUGAAAAUAGUAGAAACCUUAGAAAUUGCUAGACAUAAAAAAAAAAAAAUGACUGGAGGGUUGUAAUAAGGAGGCUAUGUUUAUAUUUUUCAGGUUAUUGAUAUCAGAAGUAGUAAGAGACUACACUUAUAAUAGAUACUUAUGGUUGAAUUAGUUUAAAAGAUGACUAGAAAAACUCCACUUUUCAUUUAAAACUUUCUUUUGUUUUAGUUCUCAAUACUAAUAUUGGCUGUUGUUUUUAACUAAGGCUGAAUCUAAUUUGUCAGUCUGGAGUGUCAUUUUCAAUGUCAACUUUUAGCUGUGUGGUAUAAAAACUGUAUUUUUGUUUGAUAGUUUCUUUUAAAUUUUACUAAAAUAAUUGUUUCUCUUCUGAGGGCCUUUUUAUGAAUGUGAAGCUUAUUGAAGAUAUAUGAUCAUUCAGUAAAACCUAGCUAGUAGUUUUAGGGUAGAAACGUGUAUUUUCCCAACACAGCACCUUUUCCUUAUCAUCUAUUCUGUUAACCAAAACAAUGCCCAAGAAAGGUAAAAUGUGUAUAAUAUAUAUGUGUGUACAUAUAUGAUUUUACCUCUUAAUAAUCUACUGCAGACAAUCCGCAUUGGUUGUAAUUUGAAAAAUUAUAGAAUCUCAGAGGGUAUUAGUAAGUUGAAUAAUUCAUUACUACACAUGAAUAAAAAUAAGUAUUAAUUGAACUAAAUUAUUCAAUUGAAAAUUUGGAUACUUUGGAAAACAUAAAAGCUUUAGGAAGUUUCUGGAUACAACCUUUGCUUUGAAAAUCCUCCCGAAGUAUAGUGCGUGUUCAUGAAUUCCACUAUAUUUAUAGGCUAAAAGUAAACAUGCAUCAAUAUUAUUUUCUAGAACUCAUACCAAGACUAGUUUUGUUUGAUUAGUACUUGGAAAUAAACUGAUGAAGACUUGAUAGAGGUCUCAGGACACCCACCCUCUUCAGUAGAAAGAGCUCAUUAUUGGAAGGUGUUUGUGCUCUUUAGUUUUGCUUUUCUGCUGAAAUGUGUCUGCAGAGCAUCUAAUUUCUAGGUAAAUUUAAGGGUUAUCAGCUCAUUUUCAAUAAUUAAACAAAGUGAAAGAUCUGUUGAUUCUUUCUUAUUACCCCUGUUGUCCUUUGGCUUUAUGCCUGUGUCAACUUUAAUUUCUGAUUACAGAGCCAGUGCUUCAGUAAUUGGCUCUUAGAAAAUGAAAUAGCUACUAAAAGAUAAAACUUUUAAAACCUAUGUUUCUAAAUUUAACUGGCCAUUAUAUGCUCUUACUUUUCAGGCAUCCUGUGCUUUGCAAUUAAUUCAACAAAUAUUUUGGCUGCUUAUUUCAUGGGAGAAGUUCACCUAAGAUUCUAGAUGGGAUAUAGAAAUGAAAUGCAUAGGUGCCUUGCCACAAAUAAGCUUAUUGGUGGUGAUGAUUGGCAAUUUGGAUUUAUGCUCUGACCUAUUUUCUGUUCUGUGAGUGGUGACAGAGAGUCCAAGAUCUUAGUUUUUUGUUUUGGUAUUACUGUUUUUUUUUUUUUUAAUCUGUGCACUCAAAGAAAUUCUUUGAGAUCAGCACUAAUGAGGUUUUUUGUUUGUUUUUCUGAUUAUUUUGAUCUGUGUCUAAAGCUGUAGAACUGAAUGUAAAAGGUAGAACUGAAGUUGUAGAACUCUAUGUAUCUGUGUCUGUAAUUCAGGAAAAAUCCACUUAUCAUGUGAUUAUAAUGUAUUUUCCUACCCUUUCCAGGUAUAGUUCAUUAGAUUGUUAUGAAAUUUAUAGAUGUUUUUCCUUAAUGGUUAUAGAGGUAAAUAAAGCAGUUGUAUAGAGUCAAUAUUCCCCAAAUUCACACACCUGAAAGCUGAUCUUCUAAUACUGUGCUAGACUUAAAAUAGCCUUCAUACAGAAACUACUAAAUAAAAAUAGUUAAGACUACAAGUUCACAAAUUAAGGUGAAUAGUUGAAUACAUUAGAUUGACUUAGUAAUUUUACCUUAAGAAAACCGUUAUACAGCUUUUCUCUGAUUUUUCAGUUUUAAGCAUAGUAUAUGCAUACAUUACUCCUACAUAGUGUUUGAGAUUAUAAAAUAUUUUCAAAUAUAUUUAACAAUAAUUUAGACCAUUGAUUUUAUAGAAGUUAUAACAUUUGCUAAAAGUCAUAACUAACUUCACUAAAAGCAAUGGUGACAAAGGAACACAAGUGUGUAAGUGCUUUUGCUUCUCAAGAAAAAAAGUAAGACUAGUGUUUUCCUAAAGUAAAUUAUUAGUUAGUUCCAGUAAAGGAAGAUUUGUGAAAGAUAGUGAGUAUGGCAAGUUGUAGGGUGAUUGAGGAAAGUAAAUUUUAUUUGGCUUGCUUUAUAAUAUCUGAAUCUGAUAAGAAAUAAUGAAAUGUAUUAAAUAUUUAGCAGAGUUUGCUCAGUGUUGAUAGAGUUAUUCACAAGACAGUUUAAGGAACUAGAAGGAUCCCAUGAAAACUUCGCUGCCAAGGACUGCACUAAUACAAAACUGGAAAGUAAUUCACUCUAUUUAAAUAAUAAUUUUCUCUUAGAAUUAACCAAGAAUGAAAAGGUUUUCUUUACUUGCUGUGAGUAAUUUUCCUAUAGGUCAGAGAUUUUGUACCUCAGCAAUAAUUUUCUCAGAUUUGUGUUGACCUUAACAUGUCCUUGGUUAUUUACAAAAACAAAAUAAAACAAACAUAUGCAAAACAAAAAAAAAUCAAUAAACAGUAAAGAAUCAAUGUUUGGUUUCUCUUUAUGAAGAACCAAAGUUUCCAUAUACUUUACCACCUUGAUUAAAUAAGUAACCAGGUAUUGUUUCUCAUGCUCCCAUGCUCCUAUCUUAAUUAAUUAAGCAAAUCUCCUCUGACAGCUUGAUUUUGCUUUCCCUGGAUUUGAUCCUAAAUUUAGAAAAAAAAAUUCAGGAUAUCUUUUACACUGAAAAUUAUCUUUGCAGUUUUCCAAAGGGCCCCUGGAAAGCUUUAAUAGGUUAAGUUUGUAAAAGCAAAAUAUUAUUGACUUAUAUACCUAUUUUAUAGGUUACACACAUUUUGAAAAGGCCCUGGAAAUCUGUCAGUGCAUUUUUAAAAUGAUUUUUAUUUUUUCCAUUAUAGUUGAUUUACAGUGUUCUGUCAAUUUCUACUGUACAGCAAAGUGACCCUGUCAUACAUAUAUAUGUGUGUGGGGGGGUGUAUAUGUAUAUAUAUAAAUAUAUAUAUAUAUAUAUAUUCUUUUUCUCACAUUAUCCUCCAUCAUGUUCUAUCACAAGUGACUGGAUAUAGUUCCCAGUGCUCUACAGCAGGAUCUCAUUGCUUAUCUACUCCAAAUGCAAGAGUUUGCAUCUAUUAACCCCAGACUCCCAGUCCAUCCCGCUCCUCCUCCCCCUUGGCAACCACAAGUGAAAAGGCCCUGGAAAUUUGUCAGUUCUUAAUAUAUUUUUAUUCUCAGGGAAAGUGUAUGAAAUAUUUAUGCCUUCUAUCCCAAGAGCUAAUUUUACUAUUGUCCGUUGUGCUAUUAUUGGCUGUUGAAAUAAGUUAACCACUGUCACGAGUCUCAUUAUGAAAUAGAGUUCUUUUCUCCAGUACUUGACUGAUGGCUCUGCUCUAAGCUAUAGGCUAGGAUUUCAGAAGAGUUUCAGAAUCUGUGGAAAGGACUGUACAGCACUCUGAACUACCUCACUUCAGUAGACAGGCUUGAGUGCAGGCUUCCAAGUGGACACUGUUAGACAAUGUUCAGACUUUACUAGGGACAGUCAGGAUUUCCAGGCCUUUCUUCUCUUCAGUGGAGCAAGACUUAAUCACUGAGGACUGAAUGAACUGAGAGAAAUUUAUUUGUGGUUAUUGUUGGUACUGUUUGAAUACUCUGUUCUUUUUGGUUAUAUGAGGAAGCCCUUUCUCUUUCUUGAGAUGUACCCAAGUCUAAGUUUAAUUUACUUUGGUAAACUGAAAUGAAAUUUUUUUUUCUUUAGGCAAAGAAUGAGUUUAAUAUUAUAGAGCACUUGUGAGAAAAACAAAUGGGCAGGCAAAGGAGUUCAGCCCCAAGAACAAAGAGGGCUCCAUUUUUAUAUCAAAGAAGUGGGGAGAGGAGACCACCUUCUUCCUCAUUUUGGGGUAGACAUUAAGGCUGAGAUGAGGCAUUUUAAUGAUGAGUGAUUUUCACUUGUCCCUUGGGAUUCUUGACAACCUAAUUAUUUGGAUAGAUUCAUAGAAAUCUUGCCCAACCCCAUUUUUUUACCAGAAUAUAAUUGGAAAAAUCCAUUGUGUAACAAGUAUCACAAUUGAGAGUGUUUGUCCCUUAGGAUUCUUGACAGCCUAAUUAUUUGGAUAGGUUCAUAGAAAUCUUGCACCCCCCACCUUUUUUUACCAGAAUAUAAUUGGAAAAAUCAAUCGUGCAACCAGUAUCACAAUUGAGAGUGUUUGUCAUUUAACCAGGCAUGAAGAACCCACUAUUAGAGAACAAGUACUUCCUUGGAAGCCUGUAUGCAAGACUAUUUAAUGUGGAUUAGUGCCUACAAAGUCCUUCCAAGAACCUUGGCUUUGGAACUGGCUUAUUAGAGCCAGCCUCCCAACUGGAAUGGUCUGCCAGCUGAGAGAACUGAGAAAAUGUUGGAAUUCAGGAAGAGAGUAUAUAUACACAUACACCCCGAUACAUAGAUAUUAAAGGUGAAACCUAUUGGAGAAAGUGUCUUGCAUUUGGUCUUCUAGACUCACCAUAAAAAGUAAUUGAAGUUUGAAAAAAUCUAAUCCAGGUUUCCCAUUGUGGCACAGUGGAUUAAGAAUCCAACUGCAGCAGCUCAGGUUACUGCGGAAGUGUGGGUUGGAUCCCUGGCCUGGCACAGUGGGUUAAAGGAUACAGUGUGGAUCCCAGCUGUGGCUUGGGCUCAGUCCCUAGCCCAGGAGCUUCCAUAUGCUGUGGGUGUGACCAUACAAUUAAAAAAACAAAACAAAACUAAACUAAUCCCAUACAAGAUCCUCAAUGAAAAGUCCAGGCAGUAGUUAAUUCUCAGUUCUUCAUAGUUGUUUAGUACUGUAAGGCCUUGAAUUUGCAGAGCAAACUCAAGAAGGCCUGUCUGUUUAAUUAGCACUCUUGCUGCAUUGCAUCUCUGUGUAUAAUUAGGCCAAACCUAAUGAGGCUAGACUUUCUGUUUAAAGAACAAUCUGUGGGGAUUAUUUAUGAUCAAGGGGUAGGAAUAUCAGAAAAAUAUUCUGAAACAUAAAAAUGGGCAGGCUUUCCUGGGUGUUUCUUCAGUACAGUUUUACCUUUGAUUUUUUGUUUUCCUGGCUAUUGUAUAACUUUGUUGGGGAAGAGGUCAAUUUAUAGAUUAUUAUCUGGUAGAGAUGCAGGUAAAUUUUGCCUGGUAAAAAAGGUGAUUCAAAAAAUAUAGUUUAUUACCCCUUUGGACAUUAACCCAUUUUGUAUCUAGUCCAGCAAUCUUAUCCUAACACAACUUUCUAAAACUGACUUUCAAUGCCUCACUCUUCAGUUUCUCAUUUUAACAUCUUACUGGUUUCUUCAUUAAUUGCUGUGUGUACAAAAUCUUUGACAUACGUUGUUUUACAUUUACAUGUGAGUCAUGGUUUUACCUUUUUGAAAGUUGUACUUUUCUAGCCCUGAGAAACUGGGGGCAGGAUGUGUCAUUUAUCCAAGCAGAGAAUUCUGAGGAAUAAACAGGUCAGGGACAGGAAUGAGAUGACUGGAAAAAAAUUAAACAUACUGUUUUGGAAAUAUUUAAUUCAAAACAGAUCUUUGUUCGCCUGAGAAAGUUUAUAGUAGUGUGAAGCAACAGGACAUAGAGGAAGACUAGCAAACUCGACCUUGCAUAGCAGCCAGAAUCACAAAGGUGUGGAGAGAUAUGUGUGCAAGGUGUAAUAGAAGGCACAGUCAACAAAACCUUUGGAAAAAUGACAGCCUAGCACUUCAGAAAGAUUCAACUGAUGUCAAUGUGUAUGAUGACUUGUCAAGAGGGAAUCUAGGAUCGAUGGAUGGGAGGAAAGUAUUAGAAUUUACAUAAUUUGGGGAGUUUCUGCAAUGGCUCAGUGGUAGUGAACCUGAUUAGUAUCCAUGAGGUUGCAGGUUCAAUCCCUGGCCUCACUCAGUAGGUUAAGGAUCUGGCAUUGCCGUGAGGUGUGGUGUAGGCCACAGACACAGCUUGGAUCCUGCGUUGCUGUGACUGUGGUGUAGACUGGAAGCUGCAGCUCUGAUUUGACCCCUAGCUUGGGAACCUCCCUAUGCUGCAGAUGAGGCCCUAAGGAAAGAAAGAAAAAAAAAAAAAAG
rnacentral:lncRNA from 1 species